GCAAAGGUAGCAUAGUCAUUAGUUCUUUAAUUGUGAUCUGGUAUGAAUGGCUUGACGAGGCAUGGGCUGUCUUAAUUUUGAAUUGUUUAUUGAAUUUGGUCUUUGAGUUAAAAUUCUUAGAUGUUUUUAUGGGACGAGAAGACCCUAUAGAGUUUAACAUUUGCUAUGGUCCUCUUUCUGUUUGUGAGGGUUCACUGGGCCAUUUAAUAUGUUUUGUUGGGGUGAUGGGAGGGAUUAAUUUAACCCCUCCUUUUAUUAUUAUAUUUAUUUAUAUUUACUUGAUCCAUUUAUUUUGAUUGUAAGAUUAAAUUACCUUAGGGAUAACAGCGUUAUCUUCCUUGAGAGUUCUUAUCGGCAGGGGGGUUUGCG
rnacentral:rRNA from 1 species